GAGAACAUGCCUUUAGAUUGGGGACAACAGUUGGAAACGACUGCUAAUACCGAAUGUGCCUUUAGGGGUGAAAGAUUUUAUUGUCUAAAGAUUGGCUCGCGUCAGAUUAGCUAGUUGGAGUGGUAACGGCACACCAAGGCGACGAUCUGUACUUGGUCUGAGAGGAUGACCAGGCACACUGGAACUGAGACACGGUCCAGACUCCUACGGGAGGCAGCAGUGGGGAAUUUUCCGCAAUGGGCGCAAGCCUGACGGAGCAAUACCGCGUGAGGGAGGACGCUUUUUGGAGUGUAAACCUCUUUUAUUAGGGAAGAAUCGAUGACGGUACCUAAUGAAUCAGCAUCGGCUAACUCCGUGCCAGCAGCCGCGGUAAUACGGAGGAUGCAAGCGUUAUCCGGAAUUAUUGGGCGUAAAGCGUCCGUAGGUGGCUUAGUAAGUCUUUUGUCAAAUCGUGCAGCUCAACUGCAUACAGGCAGAGGAAACUACUGAGCUAGAGUGCGAUAGGGGUGACAGGAAUUCCCAGUGUAGCGGUGAAAUGCGUAGAUAUUGGGAAGAACACCAGCGGCGAAAGCGUGUCACUGGGUCUGCACUGACACUGAGGGACGAAAGCUAGGGGAGCGAAU
rnacentral:rRNA from 1 species